rnacentral:sRNA from 1 species
GUAAUGAGCGGAUGGUUACGAAAUAUUCAAGGACAAUUAACAGAUUUGGCAAAUGAAGUGCUAAAUGAGGCGAAUGAUGUGUUGGCAGAGGCCACAGAAGAAGUUCAAGAUCCUGAUGGAGAGAUUAUUGUGAGAAUUAUUAAUUUUAAGUUAAAAUUGUUAAAAAUUGGAAAAAUUCAGUUAAAAAACUCGAAUUUUAAAUAAAAAAUCAAUUUUUUAAACCAAAAAAAACUUCCAGGUAGCUAAAAAAAAGGCAGCUGAAGCCGAAAAGCAACUUGCAAUCGAAACUUCGCGUGUCGAACUUCUUGGAAACGAAAAGAGCCAUUUGGAGCAGCAGCUGUAUGAUGCUCAUGUCGAAAUGGACGCGAUUGGGGCGAAAUUCAACGGAAUGGUUAAGCAGAGAGAUGAUGAGAUUAAAAAGUUGAAGGUGCACCUGAAAAAAUGGAAAAUUUCGCGUUUUUUUGCACAAAAUUACCCAAAAAAUAGCUAAAAUUGGAAACAAAUUACCCGAAAAAAUCGAAUAUUGAAGAAAAAUAGUUAAAAUUGAAAAAUUUUGGAGAAAAAAGUAUUUUUUUUAGCUCCAAAUUGCCCAAAAAAUAGCGAAAAUUGAUAAAUUUUGGCGCAAAAAAUCGAAAAAGAAGCUCUUUUUUUCUUAUAUUUAAAAAUUUUGGCCAAUAAAACUUAUUUUUCCGUCUUGCAGCCAGCUUUUAGAGUUGAAAAUUAAUGAAAAAUUCGAGAAUUCCCUUAAAAAGUGACUAAAAGUACUUUUAUUCUGCAAACGGCAUCGUUCAGGCCACUUUUUGAGGUAAUUUUCGAAAUUUUUCAACGAAAAUACAUAUUUUCCAUGUUUCUACAUUAAUUUUUGAUUCAAAAUUGCUGUUUUUAAUUUUUAAAAUCAUUUUUUUCUCAUUUUUUUCCGUUAAUUUUGCAAAUAAAAGCGGCGCCGCACAGAAAAAAGGUGGAGCCUAAUUUUGCAAUUCUGCGGCACGGGCUUUCCACUGAUUUUUAAACAUUUUUUUAAACAUUUAUAUUUUUUCUAGCAAUAAAAACGAAGUUCGAAAAAAAUCAAUAAAAAUGAGGAAAAACCGCGCCGCAAGCUUGCAAAAUUAAGCUCCGCCUAUUUUUCUGUGCGGCGACGCUGCUUUUUCGUUAAAAAAUUCCGAAAAAUUCAUUUUCUAAGCUUAAAAAGUGCCUAUCGAUUCAAAAUGUAGUUUUCAAUUUUUAAAAUAAUUUUCUCAUAUUUUCCCGUUAAUUUUGCAAAAAAAAGCGGCGCCGCACAGAAAAAAGGCGGAGCCUAAUUUCGCAACUCUGCGGCACGGGUUUUUCACUGAUUUUUGAAAAUUGAUUCUUUUUCUAACAAUAAAACCGUAAUUUGAAAAAAAAAUCGUGCCGCAGGCUUGCGAAUUAGGCUCCGCCUAUUUUUCUGUGCGGCGACGCUGCUUUUUUGUUAAAAAAUCCCCAACAAUUUUUGCAGACCCAAAUGGAGCAACUCCAAGAAUCCGGCUGGAAUGAGUCUACAUCAGAUAUUGAUCAGAUUUGUGAGCUCAAAAAGCAAGUUUCACACUGGAAAUCACUUGCUGAAGAGAAAUCUGGAGACGGCGGCGGCGGCGGUGAAAAAGAAGAAGAAGAAAUGAUCAAAUUAUCAGAGUUAGAAAAACGAAUCGAAGCUCUCCGGCAACAGAAAGAGCACGAAAUUCAGUCACUUGUCGAGUCACACGCUGAAAAUGUACUUGAAAUGAGAGAAAUGUAUGAGGAAAAGAUUGCCGCAAUGCAG